rnacentral:tRNA from 1 species
GGAGAGAUGCCCGAGAGGCUGAAGGGGCACGAUUGGAAAUCGUGUGAGCGCCUAAUAAGUGCUCCGAGGGUUCGAAUCCCUCUCUCUCCG